rnacentral:tRNA from 1 species
GCUGGUGUGGCUCAGUGGGUAGAGCAUCGGCCUCGGGACUGAAGGGUCCCGGGUUCGAAUCCUGGUCAAAGGCA